rnacentral:rRNA from 1 species
UGGGGAAUAUUGGACAAUGGGCGCAAGCCUGAUCCAGCCAUGCCGCGUGAGUGACGAAGGUCUUCGGAUUGUAAAGCUCUUUUUACCAGGGACGAUAAUGACGGUACCUGGAGAAUAAGCCCCGGCUAACUUCGUGCCAGCAGCCGCGGUAAUACGAAGGGGGCUAGCGUUGUUCGGAAUUACUGGGCGUAAAGCGCACGUAGGCGGAUUUGUAAGUCAGGGGUGAAAUCCCGGGGCUCAACCUCGGAACUGCCUUUGAUACUGCAAGUCUCGAGUCCGAUAGAGGUGAGUGGAAUUCCUAGUGUAGAGGUGAAAUUCGUAGAUAUUAGGAAGAACACCAGUGGCGAAGGCGGCUCACUGGAUCGGUACUGACGCUGAGGUGCGAAAGCGUGGGGAGCAAACAGGAUUAGAUACCCAUGUAGUCCCUGAGCGGGCUGGCAAGGCGCAU